rnacentral:rRNA from 1 species
AUGAACGCUGGCGGCGUGCCUAAUACAUGCACGUCGAGCGAAUGGAUUAAGAGCUUGCUCUUAUGAAGUUAGCGGCGGACGGGUGAGUAACACGUGGGUAACCUGCCCAUAAGACUGGGAUAACUCCGGGAAACCGGGGCUAAUACCGGAUAACAUUUUGAACCGCAUGGUUCGAAAUUGAAAGGCGGCUUCGGCUGUCACUUAUGGAUGGACCCGCGUCGCAUUAGCUAGUUGGUGAGGUAACGGCUCACCAAGGCAACGAUGCGUAGCCGACCUGAGAGGGUGAUCGGCCACACUGGGACUGAGACACGGCCCAGACUCCUACGGGAGGCAGCAGUAGGGAAUCUUCCGCAAUGGACGAAAGUCUGACGGAGCAACGCCGCGUGAGUGAUGAAGGCUUUCGGGUCGUAAAACUCUGUUGUUAGGGAAGAACAAGUGCUAGUUGAAUAAGCUGGCACCUUGACGGUACCUAACCAGAAAGCCACGGCUAACUACGUG